rnacentral:sRNA from 1 species
UAUUUUUUAACUAACAGGGUUUCAUAGAUCACCCAAACAAAGUAUGGACACAAGAUGAGUUGCCUCCCAUCACUAAUGGUUUCUCUGUUCUGGAUGUGUGUAAGAGAGUUUUACAGCUGAAUAAGAUAGCACUCAGUUUGAGGAAACAAAGAUUUGACAAUGGAGCCUUGAGGUUAGACCAAGUGAAGAUACAGUUUUCACUCAAUAAAGAAACUGCACUACCCAAUGGUUACUCUGUCUACAAACAAAAAGAUAGCAAUAGAUUGAUAGAAGAAUUCAUGUUACUUGCCAAUAUGGCUGUAGCCCACAAAA